AGCCUGCUACAACUGGUGUUCUCUCCAGCUAUGGAAGAUGCAACGUCUGGGUUCCUGCUCUUCUUCCCACCUGACCCGCUACACGUCACUCUGUUCUACGACAGCAACCGCACAGACUGGUAUCAUGAUUCUUUAAGGUAAAACACAGACAGUCAUUCUAGGAAUAUGUAUGUGGCACCUGAGCGUUUGGCAGCUGCUACUGCUGAACAAUUUAUAACGAUAUAUGAUGUCGGAUGAAACGAUUUCACACAUUUCUCUUUCUCUCCAUGUUGAGCACCAGAAAGAAGUAGGGGCGUGGUUAAACAUUCCCUUCAGGCAACUGAUUGGGCUCCUACCAGCGUGCAGGAUGCACUCUCUGACUGGAAGGAGUUUUUCGGGGUUGCGACGUCAACCUCCCAGGAUUCACAGGUAGCACACGAAAUUUGACAUCUAAAGAUUGUUGUGUAGUUUCAGAUUAUAUUGGAGAUUCCUAAGGAAUGUGAAGAAGGGUCCACAAACCCCCAGACCUCGGCUGAGUGCGCGCUAAGGUCAACGAAGGACAGAAGUGGGGGUUGUUAUUUAGGGCGCUCUGACCAGAGUGCGGAGCCAUGAGGUCCCACCACAGGGUGCCAAAGGAAACACCGAGACCAGCGCAGAACCAGAGUGGGAAAGUCAUCAAAAGAAAGUGGUCAGAACCAAGGUGGACCAGCCCAUACCAGACGGUGGAACGCACUUCGCACGCUGUCAGGCUCAAAGGAAAAGGCGACACCUGGUAUCAUUGGAGUCAGUGUGCAGCCACUGAGGAACCCCAGCGCUCUCAAGCAUCAGGUGCGCCAGGAUUUACAGGAUAACACCACAACGCUGUGAAAGGGAGCCUAUCGGUGAAUCCUCUACUCAACCACGGUCAUAAUAAAACCCGUAGAGAGAUUCAGUGAGCUUAAGCUCACUCACAAAAAUCGCGCAAAGGAGACAGAGCAGAAGAACAAAGAAGAAGAGGCGGAAGAAGUGGGCAGUGAGCUGCUCUCCUGCUCCACAAAAGAAAAAAAAAAAAAGCAUAAAACAGAAGAGGCGGAAGUAGUGUUUUUUACCUGACCACAUGGUGUUGUAGCAACUCUUACACUCAGAGAGAAGAAGAAAACCAAUAAGAGACUCAGAGAACUAAAAAAAAAAAAAAAAAAAAUUGUUUUUAUAUAUGUAUUUUUGCAUUUCUUGUUGAAAUUUGUGUGUUUCUCCACAGGUGUUUUUCCACAGGGGCACUAAAAUAGCAUUAACCAAACCCCCUAAGGGUUGUGUUGCUGGAGGUCUAUUAUUAUCAGUUGUUAUUGUUACAGGUAUAUUGUGGUAUUUUUGCGACUUUCCAUUCCUGAACAUGUCCAGCUGAUCCACCUAGGAAGACCACAAAGACGCGCUAUUACAGCAGCAUCCAAUGACUGGUGCUUAGAACUUAUUACCAUUACAAUAUAAUCAAGUAUUUACCAAAGGUGUCAUAACAAACCGGUAAAUUUAGGGUUUUCUACUGCAAUAGUUUAUGGGUGAACUCUUAAAAGAGUUCAAAAGGGGGAAUUGUGGAAUGUAUUAACUUUGAUUCAUUUUUAGUACACAUUUAUGAAGGUAUAACAUGCUUUUAUUGUGCAAUAUAUUUGCUUUGAGGCCUGUCUGUUUACCAGAAGAAGAGAAUGUGAAUAGGUUCAGUGUAUGAGUAUCAGGAAAACUUUCAAGGCCAGUCCGAGGCAGUGGGAAAGAACAGAAACUCCAGUUCACAUGCAGCUGGAGAAAAUAAUGAGGGAAGAUAGUUAUUAGGGAGUAAGAUAGCGAUAGGAUGUGUGCGUCAUUCAUUGUGUGACUUUGUAUAAUCUGUGUUCUAACUUUAAUAAAACUAGCCUGAGCGGGAGAGAGAGCGAGAGUUGUUGCCCGGAAUCGGCAGGUGUAUCAUCUCUCCCCUUUGCAAAGGUGAAACUGAAA